rnacentral:lncRNA from 10 species
GGAAGAUCAGACACUGAUGUCCCGCAUCUGAUAUGUAUAUAACACAAUUCUCAAUUAUCCUUUGAUUGUGUUUUACUCCCUUCUGUACAAUAGACUCAUUUUUAAAGACAAAUGAAGAAUUCAGAGCCCAAUCCUAACCUCAAGCCAAGAAGUAAGAAAAGGAAGAAAAAAUCAAGAAACUCAGAACAGAACCCCAGCAACAUUGAACCAAGGAGCAUGGACUCUCAGGCUGUUCAUAGAUUUCAGGAUCUUUUCCACUACUUCCACAGGCAGAUAGAGGGCCAUCCCCACCACCGUCUCUACCACCACCGUCUCUUCCCAGAGGAGUUUUUACUCUUCCUCCAACUCCUUUACCUGAGCUAAGUGGUAAACCAUCAUCAUCACCAUCACCUUUGGAGACCUCCUCUACCACCACCUUUGUUGAGAGACCUACUCUCCAGGAUCCCC